AUUAGCCCUGAGUUAAAAUCUGCUGCCAACCCUCCUCUUUUUGCUGAGGAAGACCGGCCCUGAGUUAACAUCUGUGCCCAUCUUCCUCUACUUUAUAUGUGGGAUGCCUGCCACAGCAUGGCUUGACAAGUGGUGCGUAGGUCCACACCCUGGAUCCAAACCUGCGAACCCAGGGCCGCUGAAGUGGAAUGUGCAAACUUACCCGGGUAGCCACUGGGCUGGCCCCAUUUUUCUACUCGUCGCUGCUCAGAGGCAACUGUUGAAACUCUCGGAGGAGUUUUUCCAGCACAAUAGACAGUAUUGUGUAGAGCACAGCUUCUGGGGAAGACUGUUUGGAUUAAUAUCCUGGCUCUGUGACUUACUGCUGUGUACUGAGUUCAUUUUCUCCAGCCGUGCUUCAGUUUUCUUGUCUCUAAGCAUUGUAGGCGGCAUCAUCCACUCCACAGGCAGAGGAAGGGCGAGUUUGCACUCUCUCUGCUUGAGCUGGGCUGUCCAUCUUCUCCUGCCCUGGGACAUCCGCACUCCUUGUUCUUGGACCUUUGGACUUGGACUAGUGCUUAUGCCAUCAGCUCCUCUGGUCCUCAGGGCUUCAAGCUUGGACUGAAACUACACCACUGGGUCUCUUGCACAUGGCGGAUCCUGGAACUUCUCAGCUUCCACAAUCUCGUCUAAUGGUGAUAUGUUCAUCCUGAAGGCCAACUCUGUGAGGCACUAAGGAAUUCAUGCAUCAUUAUUAGAAUGGCU
rnacentral:lncRNA from 1 species